AAACCUUUGAAACUUGAGCCAAAAUAAAU
rnacentral:piRNA from 1 species